GCCAGACUCCUACGGGAGGCAGCAGUGGGGAAUAUUGGACAAUGGGGGAAACCCUGAUCCAGCGACGCCGCGUGAGUGAAGAAGUAUUUCGGUACGUAAAGCUCUAUCAGCAGGAAAGAAAAUGACGGUACCUGACUAAGAAGCCCCGGCUAACUACGUGCCAGCAGCCGCGGUAAUACGUAGGGGGCAAGCGUUAUCCGGAUUUACUGGGUGUAAAGGGAGCGUAGACGGCAGCGCAAGUCUGGAGUGAAAUGCCGGGGCCCAACCCCGGAACUGCUCUGGAAACUGUGAAGCUGGGGUGCAGGAGAGGUAAGCGGAAUUCCUGGUGUAGCGGUGAAAUGCGUAGAUAUCAGGAGGAACACCGGCGGCGAAGGCGGCUUACUGGACUGUAACUGACGUUGAGGCUCGAAGGCGUGGGGAGCAAACAGGAUUAGAUACCCCGGUA
rnacentral:rRNA from 1 species